rnacentral:lncRNA from 1 species
CCCAACUUAGCUCUCACUGCUCUCUAACUAGACCAUGGGAAGGCAAAGAAAUUCAGUCCGGCGCCUCUCCGGAGCAGGAUAGCGAGGGGAGCGGGCAGAUGCGGCCGCCAGGAGCUCAGCAUCCCCGGAGCUCUGCCUGCCCCCGCAGACCCCUGCACAACCCCUCUCCCCCUUCCCUGGGCUGCCAGGGCGGACGGGAGCUGGCAGGAAAAGCUGCCACAGUGCGCUAGAUGGGAUUCCUCUCGGGGAAGAGGAGGGACGGGAAAAGGAGAAACCCGCGCGCACUUUCCCUUCCAAUGAUCCCAAUCUCGCCGCGCACUGGAAAAGCCUCUUCUCCCCCCAGACCCCGCCAGGCAAGACCGGCGCAGCAGGAACAGCCUCCCGUCCCUCGGUGUGUAACCCCCGCCCCGGGUGAGUACGGCAAAGCCCUCCCCUCUCCGACCCCCCUGUGCUCCCUCUCCUCCUCCUCUCCAGGCCUUUUUCCCAUCCAUUCUCCUCUGUUCCCGCACACCCGGGCUCAGCGAGCCCUGGCGGGCACCGCUCCCCUCGCCUCAGCCCGGCUGCCCCACACCUUGCCCGGCAGCCCAGGGACUCCGGCACUGCUCCCCCAGCCACCAGGCACUGCCAGCACCCCUGCACAGCUCCCCAGGACCGUGGGGAAGCUCCAGCAGCUCUGGAGAACUUUAAAUGUUUGA